rnacentral:rRNA from 1 species
GAUGAACGCUGGCGGCGUGCCUAAUACAUGCAAGUCGAGCGAAUGGAUUAAGAGCUUGCUCUUAUGAAGUUAGCGGCGGACGGGUGAGUAACACGUGGGUAACCUGCCCAUAAGACUGGGAUAACUCCGGGAAACCGGGGCUAAUACCGGAUAACAUUUUGAACCGCAUGGUUCGAAAUUGAAAGGCGGCUUCGGCUGUCACUUAUGGAUGGACCCGCGUCGCAUUAGCUAGUUGGUGAAGUAACGGCUCACCAAGGCAACGAUGCGUAGCCGACCUGAGAGGGUCAUCGGCCACACUGGGACUGAGACACGGCCCAGACUCCGACGGGAGGCAGCAGUAGGGAAUCUUCCGCAAUGGACGAAAGUCUGACGGAGCAACGCCGCGUGAGUGAUGAAGGCUUUCGGGUCGUAGAACUCUGUUGUUAGGGAAGAACAAGUGCUAGUUGAAUAAGCUGGCACCUUGACGGUACCUAACCAGAAAGCCACGGCUAACUACGUGCCAGCCGCCGCAGUAA